rnacentral:rRNA from 1 species
AUUGAACGCUGGCGGCAGGCCUAACACAUGCAAGUCGAAUGGUAACAGGAAACAGCUUGCUGUUUCGCUGACGAGUGGCGGACGGGUGAGUAAUGUCUGGGAAACUGCCUGAUGGAGGGGGAUAACUACUGGAAACGGUAGCUAAUACCGCAUAACGUCGCAAGACCAAAGAGGGGGACCUUCGGGCCUCUUGCCAUCAGAUGUGCCCAGAUGGGAUUAGCUAGUAGGUGGGGUAACGGCUCACCUAGGCGACGAUCCCUAGCUGGUCUGAGAGGAUGACCAGCCACACUGGAACUGAGACACGGUCCAGACUCCUACGGGAGGCAGCAGUGGGGAAUAUUGCACAAUGGGCGCAAGCCUGAUGCAGCCAUGCCGCGUGUGUGAAGAAGGCCUUCGGGUUGUAAAGUACUUUCAGCGGGGAGGAAGGGAGUAAAGUUAAUACCUUGGCUCAUUGACGUUACCCGCAGAAGAAGCACCGGCUAACUCCGUG